CUGUCAAAAAAUGUGUCAAUUUUUCGGUUCAAUAUUACACAUGUUUUUAAACAGCCCGAGUACGCUUCAGGAAGUGUAGUUUUAGAUGUUAUAAAAACUUCAACUGCAUGUUUUCAUUUGGUAAAUUGAUGGUGACUCGUGAUCCAUCUGGAGCCGCAAAGGAUGUGGAAAGUCGCUUGGCAGAUCGAAGACGGUAAUUCUAGUUGGCACUUCGCCAUCGGUCGUAUUGAAAACAUGUCGAUUCCUCAAGAAAAUGAACCAGGGUCACAAAUCCUAGGCUUAUUCUGAACUCAGAGGGAAGUAUGGAAAAAGCAGCCAAAUUUUUCCGACAAUCAUUUUUUCCAAAAAAAGAUUGUAAUGUUUUGUGAAAUAA